CCGGGAAGAAGCCCUACCUCCACCGCCCUCAAGCUGGUCUCUCCAUCUUGCAGCCCGAGGGAGGCCUGAUGUGGCGUGAGGCUGUGGUCUGCAGAGUGGAAGGCUGCAAGAGUCUGGUUUGGAGUCUCACCUUCUGUGUCUCCAGUUAAUACGAGGAAGUAAGUACAGCCUGGAAUUCCCCUCCUACUGGAAAACUGGACAACAAGCAAUACAUGAUUAUGAUCCCUAGGAAAAGAGAAACAAAUACGGUUCAUUCCAGCCUGAAGACAUUUUCGAUAGCGGCAUGCUGGGCAGUUUUUUCUUCGAAUUUUAUCGAUGAUGCAAUCAUUCCUUCCAGCACAUAGGUAAUUGUGCUGUCCUAUAUGGAAUAAAAGGCACUAUUAAAGUUUC
rnacentral:lncRNA from 1 species